rnacentral:sRNA from 1 species
UGAUUUACCAGUGUUUUUAACUUCCUGCUGGGCUGAAAACUGCUUGUUUUGUGGAAAAGCAAAACUUGACAGCAAACAUCUAAAAUGAAGAGCUCCCAAACUUUUGAGGAACAAACGGAAUGCAUUGUGAACACUCUACUCAUGGACUUCUUGAGCCCAACAUUGCGGGUUGCCAACCGGAACCUAUGCUGUGAAGAUGAAGUAGAUUCAGGCAGGAGCUAUACUCCAGAACACAGUGGAAUCUCUCAGCAAGACCUGGUGUGCUCAGGAUUCCAGCUUAGCUUAUGAGAGAGCUUUUCUGGCAGUGUCAGUGAAACUUCUUGAGUAUAUGGCUCACAUUGCUCCUGAAGUAGUGGGACAGGUGGCUAUCCCCAUGACGGGUAUGAUCAAUGGGAACCAAGCCAUCCGGGAGUUCAUCCAGGGCGAGGGAGGUUGGGUAAGUGUGUUGGGGCUCCUGGUUUUGCUAGGUAUUUGCACUGUUUUUGUACUAAUACCUGGGAUUCCAAUUCAUGACCCUUUUUGUAAAUUGGAAACCAACAGGAAAACAGGCUUCCCUAUUUUGCUGAAAAUGCCUAGAUUUUCUUGCCAUGGAAAAAUGGAGCAGACAGAAGCUCAGCCUGUGGAUGUUGGACUCCAGAGUCAUGCUACCUUAAAUAUUGACUGCUGACUACUGGAAAGCUAAUCUUCAUUUCCUACACAUAAUCAUGUAUAAAGUAUAUUCAUAGUAGAGUUCUAAUUUCAGCCUGGCUUCACUCUGUUCCUUUGUAAAUUUCUGGGUCUUUUUUUCCUAACAUCUUUAUGUGUGUGUUAGGGAAGUCAGAAUCACCUUAAUAGUAUCUAAGAAAAAACAGUCUUUGCUGUAGUGGUAACUAUAGAAGGUAUUCUAAGCCCAUGUUUUAGUAAUCAUCAGAACUUAUGCUGUCAUAGAGCACUCCUUUCCAUUUACAGGGUCAGUGAAAGCCUUAAUAAGAGCUAAAUUUCCUGGAGCUAUCUGCAGAUCAUUUCCUGGUUUCUUAGGAAGUUCCUGAAAGCAAUUCCUUUGACUGUAGGAUUUUCUCUGUCUUUCCUAGGAAAAUCUGGAGAGCUGAAGAGGUGGAGCUAUUCACAAGACUGAACACUUCCUUGUUGACUGAUUGGGUGAUUGAUUCCUGGGAAUUCAAACAAACAAAUAAAAAAAAACUUUUUUCAUUUUAUCAGAACUGAACUUAGCUGAAUAAGUUAUUUUUUACUGAUUGUUAAAGUUGGGAGCAGCUGCCAGAGGCCUACAGAGUUGGUUUUUGUUUUGUUUUGUUUUGUUUUGUCAACUUAAUGCAAACCACAGAGAUUUUCUACUUUCUGUUUUCACAUGAGUUUUAAUGAGGUUCUGUUGAAGCAAAGACCCCUAGACAUGAAGUAAUGACUUGUUAGUAGUGGAAUUAUAAGCAAUAGGGCAGGCCUUUGCUGGAGGUAUUUUGAGAGAAAGGGAGAACAAUGGAAACUAUUUCUUCAGAUGUAGCCCUGUCUUUUGGUAAGAAUUGUGCCUACUAAUUUUGCAAUUUAAAGGAUUUCAGGAAGCUUUUUGGUUGAAAAAUCUUUUUUUUUUUUUAGAUGGAGUCUCACUCUGUCGCCCAGGCUGGAGUGCAGUGGUGCGAUCUCAGCUCACUGCAAGCUCCACCUCCCGGUUUCACUCCAUUCUCCUGCCUCAGCCUCCUGAGUAGCUGGGACUACAGGCGCCUGCCACCAUGCCCGGCUAAUUUUUUGUAUUUUUAGUAGAGACGGGGUUUCACCGUGUUAGCCAGGAUGGUCUGGAUCUCCUGACCUCGUGAUUCACCCGCCUUGGCCUCCCAAAGUGCUGGGAUUACAGGCAUGAGCCACCUUGCCCAGCCUAAAAUCUUGUUAUUUUAGGUUGAGCAUUUUCAUUCAAAAUCAUCCCUAAACUUCAUGUUAAUUUCACCUGAGAAGGACUGUUUCAUGCAUUUUAGAGGUUGGAAGCAAAAAGCAAACAAACAAACAAAAACAGUUGUUUCUACUAGGAAGGUCGAAGAAAAUAAAAGUUACUCCAUUAUUACUGCCACAGGAUGCAGGAAGUGCUGGCCCACAUCUAGGACAGCAAGGCCACCCCAGCUUAGAUGAAGCUAGCUGCAUAGCACAAAGCUUUAAAAGUGUGGUUCACACACCACUUGUGGACCUUAUUAAAUUGCUGAUUUGCAUUCCUAGAGAUUCUGAUUCUGUAGGGGUAGGCUGGAGCCUAGGAACCUACCUUUUAAACUAGUUCCAUAGGUGAUUCUGAUGUACAUAAAGAAUGUGACAGCCAUCACUAUAGAGAAUAGAUUGACAAAUUACAACCCACACGUCAAAUCUGGCUUGCUGUCUUAUUUUGUAAAUAAAGUUUUAUUGGAAUAGAGCAACAUUCACUUGUUUACAUAUUGUCCAUGGCCGCUUUUGUGCUACAAUGGCAGAGUUGAAUGAUUAUAGAAGACCAUAUGGCUGGUUAAGUCCAAAAUAUUUACUAGCUGGCCCUUUACAGAAAAAGUUGGCUGACCCCUUCUCUAAAUCAACAUUUCUCCUUGGUAACUGAAACUCUGUUACAGUCCUGACAAUUCCAGCAAACACAGCUGUAGAUAGGGUUUAAACUCAAAGAUAUUUAACUCUUCUUUGGGAACUUAGUCUCCAUAUGUUUGUUAGUUCUUGCAUAAUCCACAGUUUCUCUGGGUCUUCAGCCAAUCAGAGAGCUCUGUAGCUCCUGAGUAGUCCAUUUCUCUUGCCCUACAAGGGAGAGUGAUUGGAAGCAAAGCUUAUGAUUUGUAUGAUCUUGUAUCUCAAAAUAGUCCUUAAUGAUCUAAUAGAUUAGUAGGCAGUCAUCAGGUAGAGACUCCAAAAACCAGACUACUUUCCUGAAUAUGAAGAAGAAAGGCAUUGCUACAGUGAUUCAUGAAAAGCAGCAUUAAUAACUUUGGCUAAAGUUUAACAAAGCUAACCACUUCCCCUCUAUCAGCCAGCCAUCUAUGUAUCUCCUCUAAAUGCAGAGAAGUAAAUAUGUAGUCCUGUUAAUAUUUAUUUUUGCUUUUUAAAGUUAUGCUUUGGCCUGGUGCGGUGGCGUAUGCCUGUAAUCCCAGCACUUUGGGAGGCUGAGGCAGGUGGAUCACCUGAGGUUAGGAGUUUGAGACCAGCCUGGCCAACAUGGUGAAACCCUGUCUCUACUAAAAAUACAAAAAAUUAGCCAGGCUUGGUGGCACGUGCCUGUAAUGCCAGCUACUCAGGAGGCUGAGGCAGGAGAAUCACUUGAACCUGGGAGGCAGAGGUUGCAGUGAGCUGAGAUCGCGCCAUUGCACUCCAGCCUGGGCUACAAAAGCGAAACUGUCUCAAAAAAAUAAAGAAAGAAAGAAAAUAAAUAAAGUUAUGCUUUUUCCUCUAUUCCUAGUUAAAUCACAACAGGUUAGUAAUCCAUAAAUGAUGUGUCCUGUUUCUCUUUAGUAGAAAUUAUAUUUUUGGCUACCAGUUAAGAAACUUGUACUCCUUUGUCCCUUAUGUUACUAUAAACUCAAGAUGAUGAGUUUUGUGGUAUUUGACUUCAUAGGCAAAAUCAAAAUUUUUACUUUGUUGCUAUUCUGUUUUAUGAAAUAAACUUCUGUCUAUGCAUUUGAACUAAGUUUCAGCAAAUUCAAUCUAAAUUGAAUAAUUUCAGCUCCCUGUUUUAUCCUAUGUUGCUCGUAAAACAGUUCCAAGUAUACUGCAUUAUCUUGAGAUUUGAAGAUAUGGUGCCCACGGGGAUUAUACUAGGCAAAUGCGUUAAGCAGCUCCGGCCUAGGUGUUGUGUAUUUUAGGACACUCUAUCUUAGGAGAGCUUAAGCAAUUGGGCUGCAGGAAGAAGACAUUGUAACCCAGGAAUUAAAAAUGGAUUCAGAUUGCCUGAUUUUAACACUUUAGUUUCACCAUAGGCUAAUUAUGUGACACUGGGCAAGAGACAUAAUUUUUCUGUACCUUAGUUUCUACAUUUGUAAAAUAGAGAUAAUUUGGUAACUUAUUAAUAAGAUUUUUGUGAGAGAUAAAUAAAACAAAUACACUUUGUAAA